UUUCAAAUUGAGAGUUUGAUCCUGGCUCAGGACGAACGCUGGCGGCGUGCCUAAUACAUGCAAGUCGAGCGAGCUGAAUUCAAAGAUCCCUUCGGGGUGAUUUGUUGGA
rnacentral:rRNA from 1 species